GUGCACGCUGGCGGUAGGCCUAACCCAUGCAAGUCGAACGGCAGCACAGUAAGAGCUUGCUCUUACGGGUGGCGAGUGGCGGACGGGUGAGGAAUACAUCGGAAUCUACUUUUUCGUGGGGGAUAACGUAGGGAAACUUACGCUAAUACCGCAUACGACCUACGGGUGAAAGCAGGGGAUCUUCGGACCUUGCGCGAUUGAAUGAGCCGAUGUCGGAUUAGCUAGUUGGCGGGGUAAAGGCCCACCAAGGCGACGAUCCGUAGCUGGUCUGAGAGGAUGAUCAGCCACACUGGAACUGAGACACGGUCCAGACUCCUACGGGAGGCAGCAGUGGGGAAUAUUGGACAAUGGGCGCAAGCCUGAUCCAGCCAUACCGCGUGGGUGAAGAAGGCCUUCGGGUUGUAAAGCCCUUUUGUUGGGAAAGAAAAGCAGCAGGCUAAUACCCCGCUGUUCUGACGGUACCCAAAGAAUAAGCACCGGCUAACUUCGUG
rnacentral:rRNA from 1 species